rnacentral:lncRNA from 1 species
CGUUCCUACCCUAAAAGACCCUAAAAAUAAGAAAAUCCGAAGACUCCUAAAGCUAAAAAAAAAGGGCAGCCACCCCCCUUUAGAGAAUCAUCACCUUCUUUUUCAAAAAUUGGAAAAUACCUUCGAUUCUCCUAAUUUCCAAAUGUCUAGAAUCUGAUUUUUUUCAUGAGAAAAAAAUUCGACACUUGCUUUCUUGCGGUGGUUCCGUUUGAGUCACUUGAGUCCAGUUAGUGAGGUCGCCAACGAGGUCGAGAAAAUUUCUGCUUGAAGACAUGCUAUUCUCAUUGUCUUUAGUCACUUCAUUCAUCAGCAGUAAGUAUUUUGAAAUGUCUAGAAGUUUUGUUUUACUACUUUAUUAGGAGUACAUGUUAUGGAAAUUUUUAUUUUUGAUAAGUUCCUUACUGUUGAUAUGAUGUUGCGAUUGCGAUUUGAUUAAAUUAGUGUUCAAACCAUGUUUUGCAACCCUUGGUUAGAAAAUUGGCAAUCUAUAAGGAGAUGAUAAUAAUAUUAAUUGGAUUAGUUAUGUUAUAAAUGGAUUUUUGAAAUAUUCACACUUAAAAAUAUGCAAAGGUGAAGAAAUAACAUUUUGCUUUAGAGGCCGAAAAGGGUGCCCAGAGGAGGACUAGAAAAUAGAUGUAGUUCUUGCUUGUAUUAAUAUAUAAAAGAAUGUUCAUAAGAUUUUAGGUGUUCUUCAGUACUAUUGGAUAAAUGGUGAAGUGGAGAUUCAGACAUUGUUGGGAAUGACAUUCUCUUGGAUCAACAGAUUAUGAUUGUUACUUGUUGGAUAUAACAGAUGUUGGUAAGGAAUUAUAUUUUUAGUUGGAGAUGCUAAAUUCUAGGGAUUAAUCAAUUUUAUUGAUUCAAUCGCACUACCUCUUUCCAAAUGCUUUCCUUUAACAAGUUAAAUUUCAUAAUCAAUGACCUCACAAUAAUCUUGAAAUAGUUUAGGAAAUAACUCAUGAACAUCCUAGCUUUCCUUAGGCGCGAUUAAUAAUAAAUCAUCGUGACUGUGGGUACGGUUCUCGUGGCAUGGUCAUGAUACCUAAUUUCCAAUUCGAGUGUGCAUUUCAUGUGACCCGACUAUAGCUUCGUAUAAUAACAAAAUAAACAUGUUUUAAAUCGCGACUACAUUUCAUGUGACGCGAUUCACAAUGUGUACAAAAGUAGACGAGCACGUGUCAUCACGACACGUUCAAAUAAAUUUCAUAAAUCCUAAAAGUGGUUAAAUAAUUAAUUAAAAGUGGUAAAAGGAAUAAAAUGCACAAUAGGUUCUAAACAUGUAAUAAAUCAGAUAAUUAGGCCAAUUAUUAAUAGUUGAGCGACCGCGCUAAAACCAAGGAACUCGGCAGUGCCUAACACCUUCUCCCGGGUUAACAGAAUUCCUUACCAGGUCUUCUAGUUUCGCGAACUUUUAAACAGAAGCAAAUUUCCUCGAUUUGGGAUUUAAAAUAAACCGGUGACUUGCGACACCAUAAUUAUUCCAAGUGUGACUCUAAAAUUAAAUAAAUAAUCCUAUUUCGAUUAUUGUCACUUUAAUUGGAAAAAUUUCACGACCCCGGUUCUCCCUCCGUGAACCAUCAUGACGGCACCUAGUCUCUACGACUAGGUAAGCCUAAACUUGCGGAAGAUAACCAAAACUUGCGGAAGUAAAAUAAUUUAAAAAUGGAAAUAAAGCAAUAACAGUGUUAAAUGUGACGCUCGGCAUACACCAUAUUUAUAUAGAUCACGAAACCAAUAUCUAAAUCCAAGACCCGGAAACCCACAAAUCACAAGCUAAGAAAAGGAAAUACUACAUAGCUCUAACUCCGGAAUUUGUCUAAUAAGAACAGAAAGUACAGAAGGGCUAAAUACUAAAAGCAGGAAUAGAAAGGGACUUCUUGGUUUGCGGACGCGACAGAUGUACCUCGAAGUCUAUAGAGCAGUCGCCUCCCUCAAGGAUAGUAGGCCUGAUCAGCGGUACCUGGAUCUGUACAUGAAAAACAUGCGCAGAAGGGGCAUGAGUACACCACGGCGGUACUCAAUAAGUGUCAAGCCUAACCUCGAUUGGGUAGCGACGAGGAAGGUCAAGGCCCUACUAAGGUUAAACAAAUAUAAAGGUCAACAGUAUAGGACAGAACAGUAUAAAUAAGUACGGAAACAAAAUGAUAUAGGAUAUACAGAACAACAACAAUUAUAUAGAACACGGUAAACAUGGAAAGGAAAUACAGCUCAGCACCAAUAGUAACAAUCUGGGAUCUCCCAAGAUACCGUCCUGUAGUCCCAUUUUUACAUAUCCAGUGAAUCUCCCGAGAUACCUUCUCGUAGUCCAUCAUAUAUAUAUCCGAAGGAUCUCCCAGGAUCUCGUCCCGUAGUCUAACUCAUAGUGCGUGGGGAUCUACCAAAAUCCCGUUCCGUAGUCCCAAAUACAAAUACCUAGUACUGGGGGAAUCUACCGGGAAUCUAACCCAUAGUCUCAAAGUAAAUGUUCAGGGAGAUUUACCGGGAAUCUAACUCGUAGUCCCAAAGUAAACAGACAAGGGGGAGCUACCGGAAUCCCACAUCCAUAGUCCCAAAAUAAAAACACAGCAGCAGCAGGAAGAUAAAUAGAAAUAGCAAAAUCAUAUUAAGGCAAUAAGUAAUCCUAGCCUAGCAUGCUGCACAGAAUUCAAGUAAGGCGGUUAAAUCAAAUGAAGCAAUUAAGUCACUUAGACAUGCUUUCCUAAGCUAACAACAGGCUUAAUAGUGCAAAUAAUAGAAACAGGAAAGGGAACAUACUACUAAGUACUUAAAACAAACCGGAUUUCCAACAAUUAGCACAAGUAUGCACUCGUCACCUCACGCACAAGGCAUUUCAAUUACCACAUAUACCAAUCCUAAGGGGAAGGUCCCCCACACAAGGUUAGACAAGCCACUUACCUCGAAUCGGCUCAAAAUCAACCCAACACCACGUCUUUGCCACAAGUACUCGACUCCAAAUGGCCCAAAUCUAUUCAAUUCAAUUGCAUAAUAUAAAUAGCACUUCAAAUAACUAAAUCUACAAUUAAAGUCUAAGCUAAAACGCGCAAUUAUGUCAAAACACCAAAAUUCCCCUCGGUCCCACAUCUCAGAAUCAGGUGAAAUUUACAUUUUCAGAAACCUCGUAAUCUCACGAGUCUAUACAUAACAAGAACACUGAAUCGGAGUCCAAAUGACCUCUCAAAUCCUCAUUUAAAAGCCUCUUAAACUCAAGCUCUAAUUAACCAUUUUUACCAACUUUCUCACCACUAAUUAGGUCUUUAAUCACAUAAAAAUGAGUUAUGAAGUCAAUGAUAUUACCUCCAAGUUAUUCCCCUCUGUUUUCCUCAAAAAUCUCUCUUAAAAGCUUCAAACCCGAAUGAAAAUGGUGAAAGAAUCCCUCAAAUUCGCGAAGACAACUAUUUAUAUGUUUUGCCCAGUAAGUUUUGCAUUUGCGACCCUUCGGAGACUUAGUCGCAUCUGCGACUUUCAUUAAAUGACCAAUUUCCGCACUUGCGGUCUCCAAUUCCCAGGUGUGAUUCCGCUUCUACAGAAAUAUCCCUCGCACCUGUGGAACCUGCUAACCUCCCUCAAUUUUGCUUAUGCGGCCUCUUAGCCGCUUCUGCAGUGUUGCAUCUGCGGUCCCCAAAACUCAGAUGCGAAAAUACCAGAAGCAGUAAAAAUACAGCAGCUGCAACAAUUUCUCAAACUUCCCGUCAACCAUCCGAAAUCAUCCCGAGGCCCUUGAGACCUCAACCAAAAGCACCAACAUCACCUAAUACCUCAUUCAAACUUGUACCAAUCCUUAAAACACCUAAAACAACAUCGAAACCUCGAAUUAAUCAAGGAUUUGAGCCUAAGAACUCCAAUUUUCCUCAAACCUCAUCCGAAUGACCUAAAAUUUUUCUCACACAACACAUUCAACAAUAUGGAGCUACUCCAACUUCCGAAAUUCCAUUCCGACCCUCGGAUCAAAAUCUCACUAUUGGACCGAAAACUUUGAAAAUUCGACUUUCGUCAUUUCAAGCCUAAAUUAGCUAUGGACCUCCAAAACACAUUCCGAUCACGUUCCUAACCCCGAAAUCACCCAACGGAGAUAACGGACCAUCGAAUUUCUAUUCCGAGGCCGUCUUCACACUGUUCCGACUAUGGUCAACUUCCUAACACUUAAGCUCUCUUUUAGGGACUAAGUGUCCCAAAACUCUCCGAAACUCAAAACUGAACAUCUCGGCAAAUCAAAAUAGCAGAAUAAACUUGGGGAAAGAAGUUAAUAGGUGAUCGGGGCGUUAAUUCUUAAGACAACCGGUCGGGUCGUCACAAAAAACUCCUUAUACCCCUCAGGUAAAAAGGAGAUGUGAUAGCUCUGGCGACUCUGCUGGGGAUAAGAACCCAGAACUUCUUGUUCAGGGUUUAGAAUUAGAGUUUAGAAUAAUUGUUAUAGUUGUCUUUUCUUUAUUAUGUGAUUUUUACGUGUUUGAGCUUGAUGUGCUAAAUGUCGCUUUUUACCGCUUUGAUAAUGUCUGAAUUGUAUAUAAAACUCUAACGAAAACCUCCUUCUCUCCGAGUCUUCUAAAUCUUCUGGGGAGCGUGCGCUUCACGUGACUUCUUUUCUGUUAGAGUCAUAUCCUAAUUUUAGAAUGAGGUUCGGACAAGUUGCAAAGCCAGUGAAGCUUCUGCAUUUCCGGUACGAUGCCCCCGCUCGGCUCGAGUUAUCCGCUCGAGUAAGUCAGGUCUAGAACAAUACACCCCAGGAUUCGAACCUAGAAUAACAUAGUCUCAUGUCGGAUCCCUAGUAGGAACGUUUAUUUGCAUCAUAUGCAUUGGGUCCAUAUAGGAUAGGUGUACUCAAAUUAAAAGACCAUCCCGAUGCAUCUUACGUGCUACAUGUGUAUCUGUUUGUUUCAGUUUGCAUGACUGACUGGCUUUAAGAAUAGGGAAAGAAAAUUAAAAAAAAGGAAAAAAAGAGAGUGAGCGGUAGGUAUUUGAAAUAUCUUGAAACUCUGCCGAAAUUUUGAAAAAAAAGGAAAGUCAUUUCAAAAUAAGUCACAUUUUCCUGUUGCGUCAAAACUGAUAGAACCACACAGGUCUGAUUCUCACCGGAUGUGAGAUACGUUGGCAAACUUCAUCGGUUCCGGCCCACAAUUUUUCAAAAAAAUCCAAAUAAUAUUUUCGUUUACUUCCUUCUUUAGAAAGUCUUUCCUUUAGACCACAAUAUUUCAAAAAUUCAAAAAUAUUUUCGUUUACUUCCUUCUUUAGAAAGUCUUUCUUUUAGACCCCAAUUUUCAAAAAAAUCCAAAAAUAUUUUCGUUUACUUCCUUCUUUAGAAAGUCUUUCCUUUAGACCACAAUAUUUCAAAAAUUCAAAAAUAUUUUCAUUUACUUCCUUCUUUAGAAAAAUCUUUCUUUAAUACCCCAAUUCCAAAAAAACAAAAAAAAAUCCAAAAAAAUAUUUCUUUUAAUUUCUUCUAAAACCAAAAAUAUUUUCAUUCUUCUUUAGAAAUUUUUCUUUCAAAAAUUGAAAAGAAAAUUCAAGAUUCAAAAAUAUUUUCUUUAGAAGUCUUUCUUUCACAAUUUUAACAUAAAAGUCCAAAAAUGCAAAGAUAUUUUCUUUCUUCUUUAGAAGUUUUUCUUUCGAAAUUUGAAAAAAAAAAUUGAAAUCAAAAAAUAUUUUCUUUCUUCUUUAUAAGUCAUUAUUUCGAAAAUUUAAAAAAAAAAUCAAAAUAAAAAAAGAUUUAGUUUGUUUCUUUUAUUCCUAAUCUUCCUGAACUACGGAAAGAUCUGAUUCAUGCGGCGUCAUGAUAUAUAGGCAACCCACAUCAUGUUCGAUCGAAUGGUUAAAAACAAAAAAAAAAAACAAAAACAGAAGAAGAAAGAAAAACAAAAACAAAAAGAGAAAGGAAAAAAAAGGAAAAAGAAAGAGAGUGUUUAUUCUAUAUUUGUUGGUCGGUUUGUUGGUUUGCAAUGGCGAGUCACAAAAAUAAUCCAAGAUCUCUCGAAAAUAAAAACUUCUUCUCAACCAAUGGAACAAUCAUCAUUGUUCUUGAUCCAAGGUCACGAAAGGGCAAGUAGGCAAGUUGGCGGCGAAAAAUUAAAAAUUGAGGCAAAUGUGGGUUUGACUUUAUCAGAUUUGAAUAUUAAGACAUGGGUUGCUCGGGAUGAUUGUCAAACUUUGAGUGUUAAAUCUAAAGCAAUCAAAAUGGUCAAAUGUCAUAGUAAUGUUGAUGUGCGAAUGUGUGGCUAAGAUAUCGCUUAGUAGCUGGAAAGUCACUCCUCUUUCAGCCAUGGUAGCUUAUUUUUGUCUUCUUUUUUUCUUAUUUUUGUGCUAUCGGACUCUUCUAUCCUUUAUUCAAUAAAAAAGGCAGUCAGUCACUGUGUGUCCAUUUUGUGCAUAGGUAUUUUCACGCUAGUUCUUGUGACAUGGCAUGCAUGCAGAAUUUUUGGCCAGAUCUUAGAAAACUGAUUUAGUCUUGAAUUGGACAAGUGAGAAAGAGACACUUUUGAAGAUGAAUAAAGACAUGAAACAUUGGAAAAUAAGCAUGGACCAACCAAGACUCAAGAUCAAGCUUCAGAAGACUCAUACAUAGGAAUCUUGUAACUCGUAGCUGAUAGGCUUAAUUAGUCUUUUAAUUUUAAUUUUGAUGUAAUAACAGGACCACGGAUCGGAGCCUCGAUGGAACCUCACUCGACUCCCGAACCCAUCACUUCAUUCUGUAAUCAUCCAAGAGGUCAUCACUUGUUUUAAAAUGAAAUUCUGCGCUCCGAGGCUUUAAAACUUCUUUUAGCAUAACCUUGAUUUGCAUGCGCAGUUCGGGCGCGUAGGCGGAAAGCUUAUAUGUGAAAAUCUGUGAAUAAUGAUAAAUUUUGACUAUAAAAUGAAUUAAUUUGAUUUCGGUCAACAUUUUGGGUAAACGGACCCAGACCCGUGAUUUGAUGAUCUCGGAGGGUUCGUAGGAAAAUAUGGG